rnacentral:rRNA from 1 species
GAUGAACGCUGGCGGCGUGCUUGAUACAUGCAAGUCGAACGGAGAGUGUAGCAAUAUACUUUUAGUGGCGAACGGGUGAGUAACGCGUUGGUGACCUGCCCCGAAGCGAGGGAUAACAGUUCGAAAGAACUGCUAAUACCUCAUGUGAUCACCGGUUUUAGAAUCUGGUGAUUAAAGGUGAAAAUCACUUCGGGAGGGGCCUGCGUCCCAUCAGCUAGUUGGUAAGGUAAUGGCUUACCAAGGCGAUGACGGGUAGGGGACCUGAGAGGGUGGCCCCCCACAAUGGAACUGAAACACGGUCCAUACACCUACGGGUGGCAGCAGUAGGGAAUAUUGCAAAUGGGCGAAAGGCCUGAUGUAGCAAACGCCGCGUGUGCGAUGAAGGUCUUCGGAUUGUAAAGCACUUUUUGGAGGGAUGAGGAAGGACAGUACCUCCAGAAUAAGCCUCGGCUAACUACGUG